rnacentral:rRNA from 1 species
CCUACGGGGUGCAGCAGUGAGGAAUAUUGGUCAAUGGCCGAGAGGCUGAACCAGCCAAGUCGCGUGAGGGAAGACGGCACUACGGGUUGUAAACCUCUUUUGUCGGGGAGCAAAGAGAGUCACGUGUGACUCAUUGAGAGUACCCGAAGAAAAAGCAUCGGCUAACUCCGUGCCAGCAGCCGCGGUAAUACGGAGGAUGCGAGCGUUAUCCGGAUUUAUUGGGUUUAACGGGUGCGCAGGCGGAGGUGCAAGUCAGCGGUCAAAUUGCGGGGCUCAACCCCGUACUGCCGUUGAAACUGCAUGCCUUGAGUGCGCGAGAAGUAUGCGGAAUGCGUGGUGUAGCGGUGAAAUGCAUAGAUAUCACGCAGAACUCCGAUUGCGAAGGCAGCAUACCGGCGCGCAACUGACGCUCAUGCACGAAAGCGUGGGUAUCGAACAGGAUUAGAUACCCUUGUAGUC